rnacentral:rRNA from 1 species
GGAGUUUGGACCGUGUCUCAGUUCCAAUGUGGGGGACCUUCCUCUCAGAACCCCUACUGAUCGUCGGCCAGGUGGGCCGUUACCCCGCCUGCAACCUAAUCAGACGCAUCCCCAUCCCCUAGCGGUAAACCUUUGGUAUUCGUCAGAUGUCCUCAAAAUACAACAUAGGGUAUUAAUCCGAUUUUCGCCGGGCUAUGCCCUACUAAGGGGAAGGUUGGAUACGCGGUUACUCACCCGUGCGCAGGUCGCCAUCAAUCUGUGCAAGCACAGAUCAUGAUGCCCCUCGACUUGCAUGUGUUAAGCCUGUAGCUAGCGUUCAUCCUGAGCCAUGAUCAAAACUCU